rnacentral:rRNA from 1 species
AGGGAAAGAGGGAGGAAGGAAGAACACAUGUAAGUCGAGCGGAUGAAGGGAGCUUGCUAAUGGAUUUAGAGGAGGAGGGGUGAGUAAUGGUUAGGAAUAUGUAUGGUAGUGGGGGAUAACGUCCGGAAACGGGCGCUAAUACCGCAUACGUCCUGAGGGAGAAAGUGGGGGAUCUUCGGACCUCACGCUAUCAGAUGAGCCUAGGUCGGAUUAGCUAGUUGGUGGGGUAAAGGCCUACCAAGGCGACGAUCCGGAACUGGUCUGAGAGGAUGAUCAGUCACACUGGAACUGAGACACGGUCCAGACUCCUACGGGAGGCAGCAGUGGGGAAUAUUGGACAAUGGGCGAAAGCCUGAUCCAGCCAUGCCGCGUGUGUGAAGAAGGUCUUCGGAUUGUAAAGCACUUUAAGUUAGGAUGAAGGGCAGUAAGUUAAUACCUUGCUGUUUUGACGUUACCAACAGAAUAAGCACCGGCUCCCUUCGUC